rnacentral:misc_RNA from 1 species
UACGUAGGUGGCAAGCGUUGUCCGGAUUCAUUGGGCGUAAAGGGUCCGUAGGCGGUUCGGAAAGUCGGAUGUGAAAUCCAACAGCUCAACUGUUGAACUGCAUUCGAAACUCCUGGACUAGAGUGUGAGAGGGGUAAAGGGAAUUCCCGGUGUAAGGGUGAAAUCUGCAGAUAUCGGGAAGAACACCAGUCGCGAAGGCGCUUUACUGGCUCAUUACUGACGCUGAGGGACGAAAGCUAGGGGAGCAAACGGG